GCGCUCCCAGGGCCGCCCCCACGCCGGGAGGGGGCGCGAGGGGGCGCGAGGGGGCGCCUGUGGCUCGGUUCGGACACCUUCUCCCGCCUCCUACCGCGCACCCCGGCCUCGGGCUCCGCGCAGCGUGACAGCUCCUCGGGUUUGGAGAGAAGGGUGACGGAAGGGUCAGAACCCUGGCGAGAACUCCCCACCGCCCACACUCACCUGAGGGCGGGCGGACGGGCGGAAAUAGGAGCUUACAAUCAGCAUUUGACAAAUCUUCACUGAGCCUCUACUGUGUGCCAGGUCCUGGCACAAAAGGUUGCUGAUUCCAGGACAAAUCAGACCUUAUUCCUGACCUCCAGCUGCUUAGUCUCAAGAAGAGGAAAGGAAAAUAAAGAGACAAAUAUAAUACAGUGUGAAAAGUACAACAGUGGUCCAAUUUCAGUUCAUGAACUCAGAGCCAGAAAAGGGAAGUAGCCUUGAGACAAUAUCUUAAGAUAAGACUUCCGGGUAACAGAAAUUAGCAAGAAUGAAAAACAACCCAAGGAGCUUCCCCCACGUCCACCAUCAGAACAGCUAAGCUCAAGACAAGUGACAACAUCAAGUGUUGGCCAGGAUGUGGAGCCCCUGGAACUCUCAUACACACCUGGCGGAGAUGCAAAAUGGUACAGGUACUUUGGAAAACUGCUUGGCAACUUUAAUAAACAAAGAUCGGCUUGAGGUCCAGAAAUUCCACUCAUAGGUAUGUCUCCGAGAGAAAUGAAAACAUGUCCACAAAAACUGUACGUAAAUCUUAACAGCUUUAUUCAUAAUAGUCCAAGCCGGAGACAACCUAACUAUCUACUCAAAUAGGAGUUUGAAUAAACAGUGUGGUAAAUCCAUAGUAUGGGAUACCACACAGUAAUCAAAGUGGAUGAAUGAUUGCUGCCCACAACAACACAGAAGAAAAAAAUCAUUAUGUUGAAUAAGAGAAACCAAAUGCAAAAAAAAAAAAAAGGUGAAUAUUAUAUAAUUCUACUUAUGUGAAAUUUAGUAACUGGCAAAACCAAUCUAUGGUUUUACAAGUGGUGACCUCUGGAGGAGAAGGGGAGAACAGGACUGUUUUUGACCUAGAAGGGGCAAUGGAAGCAGGUGUUAGAACAAUUCUACACUUUGAUCUUUGGGAUGGUGACACAGGUGUAUACAAAGGUAAAAUUUUUAAGUUUUUAAAAAAUGUUUAUUUCUUUUUGAUAGAGAGACAGAGAGCGAGCAUAAGCCGGGGAA